AGCUAAUGAAGAUUGGUGACAGAUUGCUCAGUAAAGAUUUGGCUGGCAAAUGGUGUGGUAUGUGUGACGUAAAAGCAAGAGUUGAUGACGUAUUUAUAAUGGAGUAUCUCAAGUCAGGACAUCAUUGGGUGUAUGAAAUUGUGUCUAUGCUACGCAGUGGACAAACUGAGCUAAUGCCCAGUACCAUGGAAUCAACUCAUAUGGAAGCACUGAGCCCAGCAAUGGUGGAUCAGAUGCCAUCACCAAGAACUCUGUGUACACAUCGCUACCCUGCCGAAUUACCACGUAAUCUGACAGAUUUGAAAUGUAAAAUAAUUCUAUUGAUAAGAAAUCCAAAAGAUGUAUGCGUUUCUGAUUUUAACUUCCUGCGAGAAAUAAAAGAAUUAGAGUAUGAAGGUUCCUUUAGCGACUUCAUUUCCUUAUUCAAAAGAGGUGAUGUCUUCUUGAACUCGUGGGAUAGCCAUUUUCUUGAUUGGAAGAAGUUUAAAUGUGAAAAUCCAAACUACCCCAUACAUACAGUUAGGUAUGAAGACUUGAAAACG